rnacentral:rRNA from 1 species
UAAGGAAUAUUGGACAAUGGUCGCAAGACUGAUCCAGCCAUGCCGCGUGAAGGAUGACGGCCCUAUGGGUUGUAAACUUCUUUUGUACGGGAAAAAACCCCUCUACGUGUAGAGGGCUGAUUGUACUGUAAGAAUAAGGAUCGGCUAACUCCGUGCCAGCAGCCGCGGUAAUACGGAGGAUCCAAGCGUUAUCCGGAUUUAUUGGGUUUAAAGGGUGCGUAGGCGGAAUUGUAAGUCAGUGGUGAAAGCCCUUCGCUUAACGAAGGAACGGCCAUUGAUACUGCAAAUCUUGAGUACAUUUGAUGUGGGCGGAAUGUGUCAUGUAGCGGUGAAAUGCUUAGAUAUGACACAGAACACCGAUUGCGAAGGCAGCUCACAAAACUGUAACUGACGCUGAGGCACGAAAGCGUGGGUAUCAAACAGG